UACGUAGGGCGCAAGCGUUAUCCGGAAUUAUUGGGCGUAAAGAGCUUGUAGGCGGUUUGUCGCGUCUGCUGUGAAAUUUCGGGGCUCAACCCCGAACUUGCAGUGGGUACGGGCAGACUAGAGUGUGGUAGGGGAGACUGGAAUUCCUGGUGUAGCGGUGAAAUGCGCAGAUAUCAGGAGGAACACCAGCGGCGAAGGCGGCGCUCUGGGCCGGUACUGACACUGAGGAGCGAAAGCGUGGGGAGCAAACAGG
rnacentral:rRNA from 1 species